GUUUGGGUUGCCCUUAAUCUGCUUCUUUUCCCCAUUUUCUCUCCUUCCCGAAUUUACAAGCUCAAAAUCUAUACUGCUUCCAUUUCUAAGCGUUCAUUUCCUAUCAUGCUACUGAGUCGGCCCGCGACCCACAACGAACGGUUCCUGUGGGGGAGGGGUGAGUGGAACAAGGAGAGACAAGGGGACAAGUCUGCAGUUGCUGAUCAAGUCCGUUUAUUGAGAGAACACACACAUCUUUUAAAGGCAGAAAACGGGCAACUUGACAUCUACAGGAAGGAUGAGGAGGAAGGAUGGGUGGAAAUUAACCAGUAUAUUAACUGACAUGACACUCUUCUCUCUACCGGGGAUCAGAAACUCUCUUUGAGGUACUCAUCAUUGUUAUAAGGUCAUAGGAAUAUAUUACAGCUUAAUGGUUCGGAAUUUAGGUUUGGGAGUUCAUUCGUUGUGAAAUCGACCAGUGUAUUGACCUGGGCAAAUCACCCAACUUUUCCAAAUCUAAGUUUUAUCCAAGACAAAAUAGCACAUUACUUGGCUACUUAUUAUUCUCCAAGCAAAAAAAUUAUAUAACACCUUAAUUUUUCUGAUCACGUUUUCCCAGGCUGGUGCUCUCUCCUUUCAGGGAUGUAGUAAUGUCUAUUUUUCAUGACCUCCCCGACCUUUCUAUGUGCCCUGUACCCCCAAAUACUCAAGUGUGUGCUGAGGACCCUAAGUGGAUUUUUUUAACUUUGAAAUCUCCGCGAGCUUAUUUUACUCAACUAACAUUUUAAAGUCUUAAUAUUUCAUUCCUUCCCCCCCCCCCCAAGAAAUCUGUCUCAAGACUAUAUGACACAGAAAUCCAGCCUGAGUUCCAGCUUGCUAGCCAGCUCUACACGUAAGCCCAUCAGGUAGGUAAGGGAUGACAUAGAUAGAUGAUAGACUGGUUGAUGACAGAUAGAUGCAUCUAGAACGGGGAUCUCUAUAGGGAGAGAGAUGAGAGAGAGAUUUACCACGCAUGUUCUGCUUCCCUGGAAGAGCAUGACUGAAAGAGUUACUGACAUUUCUUAGCAUCUUGUUCCCAAGCAA
rnacentral:lncRNA from 1 species